ACGAACGCUGGCGGCGUGCUUAACACCUGCAAGUCGAACGGUGAAGCGCCUUCCUUUUUGGUGGGUGUGGAUGAGUGGCGAACGGGUGAGUAACACGUGAGUAACCUGCCCCCUUCUUCUGGAUAACCGCAUGAAAGUGUGGCUAAUACGGGAUAUUCUGGGUCUGUCGCAUGAUGGGUCUGGGAAAGAUAUUGUUUCGGUGGGGGAUGGGCUCGCGGCCUAUCAGCUUGUUGGUGGGGUGAUGGCCUACCAAGGCGGUGACGGGUAGCCGGCCUGAGAGGGUGGACGGUCACACUGGGACUGAGACACGGCCCAGACUCCUACGGGAGGAAGCAGUGGGGAUUAUUGCACAAUGGGCGCAAGCCUGAUGCAGCGACGCCGCGUGAGGGAUGGAGGCCUUCGGGUUGUGAACCUCUUUCGCCAGUGAAGCAGGCCUGCCUCGUUUGUGGGUGGGUUGACGGUAGCUGGAGAAGAAGCGCCGGCUAACUACGUG
rnacentral:rRNA from 1 species